rnacentral:ncRNA from 1 species
AUAAAAUAAUUAUGUUUUUGGAAAUUUAUUAUAAAUUUAUUUUACAUAUAAAUUUUAGUAUAUAAUUUUAAUUAUUUAAAUAAUAAUUAAUUUAUUUUUGUAGUAAUUAAUAUUAAAAAUUUAAGAAAUUAAGAUUUAGUAAUAUAAAAAUUAAUAACUAAUUUUGUGCCAGCAGUUGCGGUUAAACAAAAGUUAAAUUAAAUUAUUUCAGUAUAUAAUAAAUAAUCAAUUUAUUAAAAUAAAUAUUAAAUUAUUAAGUGAAAUUUUAAUUUAAUUAAAUUUUAUUUUAAAAUUAUGAUUUAAUAAAUUUUAAUAUAAACUAGGAUUAGAUACCCUAUUAUUAAAAAUUUAAUUUAUAAUACUAAAAUAGUAAAUAAUAAUUUAUUGAAACUUAAAUAAUAUGGCGGUAUUUUAGUUCAUUUAGAGGAAUCUGUCUAAUAAUUGAUAAUCCACGAAUAAAUUUACUUAAUUUAUAAUUUUGUAUAUCAUUGUUAAAAAAAUAUUUUUUAGGAAAAAUAAUAUUUAAAAAUUAUAAUAAAAAAUUAAAUCAGAUCAAGAUGCAGAAUAUAAUUAAGAAUAUGAUGGAUUACAUUAAAUAUAUUUAUAUGAAUAAUUUUAUUGUAAUAAAAAUUUGAAGGUGGAUUUAAAUGUAAUUUUAAUUAGUUUAUUAAAAUGAUUAAAAAUUAAAAUAUGUACAUAUUGCCCGUCACUUUCAUUUAAAAAUUGAAAUAAGUCGUAACAAAGUAGAGGUACUGGAAAGUGUUUCUAGAAAGA